UACGUAGGCAGCGAGCGUUGUUCGGAAUCACUGGGCGUAAAGGGUGCGUAGGCGGGUCUUUAAGUCAGGGGUGAAAUCCUGGAGCUCAACUCCAGAACUGCCUUUGAUACUGAGGAUCUUGAGUUCGGGAGAGGUGAGUGGAACUGCGAGUGUAGAGGUGAAAUUCGUAGAUAUUCGCAAGAACACCAGUGGCGAAGGCGGCUCACUGGCCCGAUACUGACGCUGAGGCACGAAAGCGUGGGGAGCAAACAGG
rnacentral:rRNA from 1 species